UGGGGAAUAUUGCACAAUGGGGGGAACCCUGAUGCAGCGACGCCGCGUGAGUGAAGAAGUAAUUCGUUACGUAAAGCUCUAUCAGCAGGGAAGAAAAUGACGGUACCUGACUAAGAAGCCCCGGCUAACUACGUGCCAGCAGCCGCGGUAAUACGUAGGGGGCAAGCGUUAUCCGGAUUUACUGGGUGUAAAGGGAGCGUAGACGGCUGUGCAAGUCUGAAGUGAAAGCCCGCGGCUCAACCGGGGGACUGCUUUGGAAACUGUAAAGCUGGAGUGCAGGAGGGGUGGGCGGAAUUCCUAGUG
rnacentral:rRNA from 1 species